rnacentral:rRNA from 1 species
UACGAAGGGGGCUAGCGUUGCUCGGAAUUACUGGGCGUAAAGGGCGCGUAGGCGGAUAUUUAAGUUAGAGGUGAAAGCCCAGGGCUCAACCCUGGAACAGCCUUUAAUACUGGAUAUCUUGAGUUCGGGAGAGGUGAGUGGAACUCCGAGUGUAGAGGUGAAAUUCGUAGAUAUUCGGAAGAACACCAGUGGCGAAGGCGACUCACUGGCCCGAUACUGAAGCUGAGGUGCGAAAGCGUGGGGAGCAAACAGG